CUACGGGCUGCUGCAGUGAGGAAUAUUGCACAAUGGGGGGAACCCUGAUGCAGCAACGCCGCGUGGAGGAUGGCGCAUUUCGGUGUGUAAACUCCUUUUAUAUGUCAAGAAAAUGACGGUAGCAUAUGAAUAAGCACCGGCUAACUCCGUGCCAGCAGCCGCGGUAAUACGGAGGGUGCAAGCGUUACUCGGAAUCACUGGGCGUAAAGGACGCGUAGGCGGGUUGGAAAGUCAGGUGUGAAAUCCUACAGCUUAACUGUAGAACUGCACUUGAAACUUCUAAUCUAGAGUAUGGGAGGGGGAGAUGGAAUUAGAGGUGUAGGGGUAAAAUCCGUAGAUAUCACUAGGAAUACCUAAAGCGAAGGCGAUCUCCUGGAACAUUACUGACGCUAAGGCGUGAAAGCGUGGGGAGCAAACAGGAUUAGAUACCCGUGUAGUC
rnacentral:rRNA from 1 species